CUCUGUUGUAGUUGGUUAAUCAUAAGGAGCUGAGCGGGAGAGUGCUGCUGUUUACCACAAUCGUAAUAGCUUUAAGAUAAGCAUGUUUAAUAUCUCAACUAAAACAGAUUUGAGAAGUGUGAUGUUUCAUUGGCUGAGGAUUAACCAGAAGGAAGGAAAAGAAAGUGGAGAAGGAAAAUGAGAAGAAAGAGGAGGAGAGGAUGCUGGAAAGAAAGAGGAGGAGGAGAGCAGACAGAAGAGAAAUAUUAUGAUAUCUCGGGAGCUGCUCAUUAUACUUCUAGCCCCUGGCUAUACAACUCCUGUGAUGGGAAAAAGCUGCGAAGGAGAAUCCUGGGAGGUACAAGAAAGCUACAAGAACCUGCGAAAACUCCUGUACACUUUUCAGAGUGAUUGCACAUGUUUAUCAUUCUGUUUCAACAACAUACAUAUGAAGAAAGCAG
rnacentral:lncRNA from 1 species